ensembl:lncRNA
AUGGGCUUUUCUGUUUUGAUCCAUUAUUUUCUGCUCCUGCUCCUGCCAAAAGUCCUCCCAGUAUUCCUCCCAUUACUCCUGCUGCUACUCCCGCACCUGCUGAUCCUGCUGCUGCUGCCAGUGCUGCUGCUCCAGAAGCUGCUGAUCCUGUUGCUUCAGAUGCUGCUGUACCCGGUGCUCCUGGUCCUGAUGCUGCUGAUCCUGUUCCCGUUGCUCCAGAUGCUGCUGGACCCGAUUCUGCUGGUCCAGAUGGUCCCGGGCCUGAAGGUCCUGAUCCAGAUGCUCCUGGCCCUGAAGGUCCUGGUCCAGAUGAUGGUGGACCUGACACUGCUGAUCCAGAUGCUCCUGAUCCUGAAGGUCCUGGUCCAGAUGAUACUGUAUCUGAUACUGCUGCUCCAGAUGCUCCUGAAGGUCCUGGUCCAGAUGAUGCUGUAUCUGAUACUGCUGCACCAGAUGCUGCUGAUCCUGAAGGUCCUGUUCCAGAUGAUGGUGGACCUGAUGCUGCUGCUCCAGAUGCUCCUGAUCCUGAAGGUCCUGUUCCAGAUGGUGCUGGACCUGACACUGCUGGUCCAGAUGCUCCUGGUCCUGAAGGUCCUGUUCCAGAGGAUGAUGGACCUGAUACUGCUGCUCCAGAUGCUCCUGGUACUGAAGGUCCUGGUUUAGAUGAUGGUGCGCCUGAUACUGCUGCUCCAGAUGCUCCUGGUGCUGAAGGUCCUGGUCCAGAUGAUGCUGAACCUGAUACUGGUGCUCCAGAUCCUGAUCUAGAUGCUCCUGUUCCAGAUGAUGGUGGACCUGAUGCUGCUGCUCCAGAUGCUCCUGAUCCUGAAGGUACUGGUCCAGAUGAUGGUGGACCUGAUACUGCUGCUCCAGAUGCUCCUGGUCCUGAAGGUCCUGAUUUAGAUGAUGGUGGGCCUGAUACUGCUGCUCCAGAUGCUCCUGGUCCUGAAGGUCCUGGUCCAGAUGAUGCUGAACCUGAUACUGGUGCUCCAGAUCCUGAUCUAGAUGCUCCUGUUCCAGAUGAUGGUGGACCUGAUGCUGCUGCUCCAGAUGCUCCUGGUCCUGAAGGUACUGGUCCAGAUGAUGGUGGACCUGAUACUGCUGGCCGAGAUACUUCUGAUCCAGAUGAUGCUGGUCUAAAUGCUCCUGGUCCAGAUGAUGCUUCUACUGCUUCUUCUUGCAAUGCUUGAUAUAAUACGGCUGCUGCUAAUCCUGAUCCUCCAGUUACUGUUGCUGCAGGUAAUGAUGCUUUUAAUUUUUGCACUAGGUUUACCACCCAUUGAAUGGUUUCUAUUGCCCACUGUAUUGUUUCUAUUACCCACUGUAUUGUUUCUAUUGCCCACUGUAAUUGUGUUCUUGCUACUGUUACUAUUGCAGCUCCUGCCAUUGCUCCAGUUACUGAUGAUCCUGUUAGUGACUGUGCUCCUAACAAUGAUUGCAAUAUUGCUGCUGUUGUUCCUGCAAAGCAUCCUGCUGCUGCUGUUACUGCUACUGCUACUGUUCUUAUUUUUGCCUCCCAUAGUGAUUGUAAAAUGCCAAUUCCAGCUGCUGCCCCUGCUGCUGCUCCUACUGCUACAGCAGCUAUUGUUGAUGUUACUGUAUUACCUACAACUACUACAAUUGUUACAACUGUCAGUGCUAUUGUUAUUUUUAGUGGUGAUUGUAGAGUUGCCCUUUGUUCUCCUGCCGCUGCUUCUCCUGGCUCUGCAAUAGAGGAGAACUGUCUUAAAAUAUGCUCAUUAAUAUAUAUAAGAUAUUGAUUUUAUCCAAUUAUGAUUAACAUUUCUUACCCAUGUUGCUUGAUUUUAAAUUGUCAGGAUAUAAUGACUCAGAUCUUCAAAUUCACUUCAGACAGAUUCACUCUUGUGAGGUUUACAGCUCCUUUUCUCCUCUUUUUUUCCUAAGCCAUCUUCCCCUCCUUUAGAAAGACAAUUUAUACAUUAUAUUUCAUAUUAUAUGUUAUAAAAUAUAUGCCAAAACUACUAGACUGCUGUAAUUGCUCCAUAUUUAUAAUUAUAAUUUUUCUCCAAUGUUUCUCUUGCUUCAGAAUAAUUUGGAGACUAUUUUAUUAACUAAAAAUUAUUUGAACUAAAAGAAAAUUAGUUAUACUGGUCUACCAUCCACCUUAAAUCAAUAUUCACUUUCUAGUCUGUGUUAACUGCUCACUGUUGCAUCCCAAUCUACUGUAAUGUUAAUGUUGAGGAUUUCAAUAUUCAUAUUGAUAACCACAAUAAAACAAAUGCACCCCUUCUCCA